rnacentral:piRNA from 1 species
UAGAACAGUUUUGAUAUCUUCCCAGAAAGC